rnacentral:lncRNA from 1 species
GAGACAACAACUGUGCCCAAUUAAGCACCGGUUCUAACAAAGGUCUGAUUUCAUCAAAGGUGUCAGAAUGUGCAUGAUUUUCAUUUUGACAAUCAUUAGCUUCCUAUGGAGCAAGUAGACACAGCAUUUCCUGGCAGCAAGUUCAUUAACUGGAGGCUGUGCUUUAUCUGCCUUCCUCCAGCUCCUCUUUGCUUCUGGGCUCCAGGUACUUGAGGGUCACACUGUCUGAGGACUUAACAAAUAAGAACAGCAAAAGACAAAAUCCACAGCAAGCACUAUUAAUAAUCCACCUGUCCAUCGUGCCAGCUAAGAAUUGGAGGAAGAUCCUCUUUCUUCUUGAUAGAUAAGCAAGAGGAAAAGGCCUGUCUGAAAUGAUUAAAGGAAGUAGUAUGUAACAAGGCUUCCUCAUACUGAGUGACAGGGAAGAGGCUGGUCACUGAUAUUUAAAACACACAUUAUCAUUCCAUCUUCCUGUCAUUCUGCUCCGCAAGCUGUUCAGAUUUGUCAGUGCCAGUAAGAUGGUUGCUAAAAGCAGCUGAGCAAACAAAGAAAAGUCUGACCAGAAUCUGGAUUAAAAAAAAAACCAAAACACCCUGAUUCUGAAUUCUUCUGCCCUCCCCCUGCCCCCCAUCCCUCCCCCGGAUCCUUGAGCACCAAAGGGCUGAGCCACAGGACACACUCCUCAGUUACUGACACAGUGCUCAAGCACCACUCUCUCUGCCUACCUGGGGUACAGCACAUCCCAGAUGCAAAAUUAACACCAACCCAUGGGAAUCUUAAAUGUUUCCUCCUCCUCUGCAGAAAGGAUGCUUGAACUGAAGGCCACUACAGAGGCAGCAAGCCCACCCCUACUUGGGGCCAUGCAUCUCCCAGCUCUGCAGAAGGCUUAUUCAAGGAGCAUUUUUUCCUCUGAAGAGGUGGGGAGACUGUUUGUCCCCAGGAUGAGCCAAUACAGAUUAUUAAUUUCUCAGUAGAAUGCAAGAGCCCAUAAACAAAGGAAAACAUCUGCUCAUAAAGCUGAUAAUGACUGUAGUGCAGACAACACUCGACCUGCUUUUUAAACCUCCUUUUAAAACACACAUCCCUUACUACUAAAAAUUCCCUCCUUACUGAUCCUUCCCUUUCCAUUCUUCUUUCUCUCCUCCUACUGCUCACUUCUAAAGAGAAUUCUCCCUCCCCACUACCAUUAAACAUUUUCAAUGACAAAAUGUUCUUCCAGCUCUGCAACCAUAGAGGCCGCAAGGGAGAUUUUCACAUCGUUUUUCAGUCUGUUCCACCCAAGAAAGUCAGAAGUAAACCGUGGUCCGAUCAGGCAGAAAUCAAAACUAAGCACACCACCAUCUCCUACUCCCUUUAUCCGCUAAUCGCUCAUUGACGCCGAUUCAAGUUUCCUCCUUCACAGCUCAUGUAGGAAUUAGAAAAAAAUAAUCCUACCUCAGCCUCGCAUUGCUUUCCUUGCCAGUUUUGUUGUUAUUUCCUUCUUCUUGCUCUCUCACCUUGACAUCAACAAAGUUACCAAGGCUGUAAACCAAAAGGACAAGACAACAGGUUUCAUUUAACCUCCCUAAUGUAAAUAUUUAGCACAAAGAACAAUCUCUCCCUCACAGACCACUCCCCACCUAGAUGACACGUCUACUGAUUUCUAG